rnacentral:rRNA from 1 species
GACGAGCCUCACGAACGUUAUUCGGAAUUACUGGGCUUAAAGGGUGCGUAGGCUGUGCGGAAAGUUGGGUGUGAAAUCCCUCGGCUCAACCGAGGAACUGCGCCCAAAACUACCGUAUUCGAGGAAGAUAGAGGUGAGCGGAACUUACGGUGGAGCGGUGAAAUGCGUUGAUAUCGUAAGGAACACCCGUGGCGAAAGCGGCUCACUGGGUCUUUUCUGACGCUGAUGCACGAAAGCUAGGGGAGCAAACGGG